rnacentral:rRNA from 1 species
UACAGAGGGUGCAAGCGUUAAUCGGAUUUACUGGGCGUAAAGGGCGCGUAGGUUGUUAUUUAAGUGAGAUGUGAAAUCCCCGGGCUUAACCUGGGAACUGCAUCUUAUACUGGGUAACUGGAGUGCAAUAGAGGGUAGUGGAAUUUCCGGUGUAGCGGUGAAAUGCGUAGAUAUCGGAAGGAACACCAAUAACGGCGAAGGCAGUUAACUAUUCUGUUACUGACAUUGAGGCACGAAAGCGUGGGGAGCAAAACGG